CACGGUGGUGCUGUGACUGCUUUGGUGGA
rnacentral:piRNA from 1 species